rnacentral:rRNA from 1 species
UAGAGUUUGAUCAUGGCUCAGGAUGAACGCUGGCGGUAUGCCUAACACAUGCAAGUCGUACGAGAGUUUUUAACUCUAGUGGCGGACGGGUAAGUAACACGUGAGAAUUUGCCUUUAGGAGGGGGAUAACAAUUGGAAACGAAUGCUAAUACCCCAUAUGCUUUCGAGUGAAAUGGAUUUAUAUUUAUCCGCCUAGAGAGAAGCUCGCGGCUGAUUAGCUUGUUGGUAAGGUAAGAGCUUACCAAGGCGACGAUCAGUAUCUGGUUUGAGAGGACGAUCAGACACACUGGAACUGAGACACGGUCCAGACUCCUACGGGAGGCAGCAGUGGGGAAUUUUCCGCAAUGGGCGAAAGCCUGACGGAGCAAUACCGCGUGAGGGAAGACUGCCUAUGGGUUGUAAACCUCUUUUUUCAGGGAGGAAUCAAUGACGUGUACCUGAAGAAUAAGCAUCGGCUAACUCCGUGCCAGCAGCCGCGGUAAGACGGAGGAUGCAAGUGUUAUCCGGAAUCACUGGGCGUAAAGCGUCUGUAGGUGGUUUAAUAAGUCAACUGUUAAAUCUUGAGGCUCAACUUCAAAAUCGCAGUCGAAACUAUUAGACUAGAGUAUAGUAGAGGUAAAGGGAAUUUCCAGUGGAGCGGUGAAAUGCGUAGAUAUUGGAAAGAACACCGAUGGCGAAAGCACUUUACUGGGCU